AAGGAGCUUACAAUCUAGCUGGGGGUAAACGACUUGCACAUGAACGCAUCUAGACUGUGAGCUUCUAGA
rnacentral:pre_miRNA from 1 species